rnacentral:rRNA from 1 species
GAUGGGCCCGCGGCGCAUUAGCUUGUUGGUGGGGUAAUGGCGUACCAAGGCGACGAUCCGUAGCUGGUCUGAGAGGACGAUCAGCCACACUGGGACUGAGACACGGCCCAGACUCCUACGGGAGGCAGCAGUGGGGAAUCUUGCGCAAUGGGCGAAAGCCUGACGCAGCGACGCCGCGUGGGGGAAGAAGGCUUUCGGGUUGUAAACCCCUUUCAGGAGAGACGAAGCCACUCAGGUUAAUAGCCGAGAGGGUGACGGUACCUCCAGAAGAAGCCCCGGCUAACUACGUGCCAGCAGCCGCGGUAAUACGUAGGGGGCAAGCGUUGUCCGGAUUUAUUGGGCGUAAAGAGCGUGUAGGCGGUUUGGUAGGUCCGUUGUGAAAACUCGAGGCUCAACCUCGAGACGCCGAUGGAAACCAUCAGACUAGAGUCCGGAAGAGGAGAGUGGAAUUCCUGGUGUAGCGGUGAAAUGCGCAGAUAUCAGGAAGAACACCCGUGGCUAAGGCGGCUCUCUAGUACGGUACUGACGCUGAGACGCGAAAGCGUGGGGAGCGAACAGGAUUAGAUACCCUGGUAGUCCACGCCGUAAACGAUGGGUGCUAGGUGU